rnacentral:rRNA from 1 species
UACGGGGGGGGCAAGCGUUGUUCGGAAUUACUGGGCGUAAAGGGCGCGUAGGCGGCCUGCUAAGUCGGAUGUGAAAUCCCUCGGCUCAACCGAGGAACUGCAUCCGAUACUGGCGGGCUUGAAUCCGGGAGAGGGAUGUGGAAUUCCAGGUGUAGCGGUGAAAUGCGCAGAUAUCAGGAGGAACACCGAUGGCGAAGGCAGCUCGCUGGGACGGUACUGACGCUGAGGCGCGAAAGCGUGGGGAGCGAACAGG